CAGACGUCUGCACAUCUCCGAGCUGCGGCUCCCUUUACUGCUGAUGCGCCGCGGCAGAAGGAAGCAGGAAAAGCAAACGCGAGGGUAUGCAGGUGAAAGAAGCACAACGGCUGGUGGGACAACAAGGGGUGGACAUGACAGGGACAUGCUGUCUGUCCUGCAGGCCAAACCGGCUCUUUCAGAUUUUUCUGCCCCUGUCUGAACUCUACGCAAACAUUACAAAGCAGAAUCCAAUCCAGUGAGGCAGAAGGAGAAGCAUCCAUGGAUGAACAGCCCAAAGAAAUGCAUGAUUUAUUCAAAGAAUGUGGCGGACGUUACGGUGGGCAAAUGAAGUCACACAAAGACGGCUUUUCGCAAAGAGAACCGUAGAAAGGUGGAAAGUUUACCUGUUUUCAUUUUUCAUCCUUCACACUUUUUUUUACUCACGUUUUUUUGAUGCAGUUGUGUUAAGUUCUUGGAUAUUUUAAAAGUCYCAUCACUUCAUUUUGAAUCAAAUGUAGUACAUAUGUGCUUUCAAUUUGCCUUYAAACUUAAUAAAGCAAUCCGUCUUGUU